rnacentral:rRNA from 1 species
UGGGGAAUAUUGGACAAUGGGCGAAAGCCUGAUCCAGCCAUGCCGCGUGUGUGAAGAAGGUCUUCGGAUUGUAAAGCACUUUAAGUUGGGAGGAAGGGCAGUAAGCGAAUACCUUGCUGUUUUGACGUUACCGACAGAAUAAGCACCGGCUAACUCUGUGCCAGCAGCCGCGGUAAUACAGAGGGUGCAAGCGUUAAUCGGAAUUACUGGGCGUAAAGCGCGCGUAGGUGGUUCGUUAAGUUGAAUGUGAAAGCCCCGGGCUCAACCUGGGAACUGCAUCCAAAACUGGCGAGCUCGAGUAGGGCAGAGGGUGGUGGAAUUUCCUGUGUAGCGGUGAAAUGCGUAGAUAUAGGAAGGAACACCAGUGGCGAAGUCGACCACCUGGGCUCAUACUGACACUGAGGUGCGAAAGCGUGGGGAGCAAACAGG